CACUAACCUUGGCACUGGAUGCCCUGGGCAUUGGAUGAGAAUUUUGUACUCACUGUUGCUGAGGGCAGCCUCCGAACCCACCGCGUAUAUUUAUUGCUUCUUUUCAUUCUCAUCUCCUGCUGGACUCAGGGUGUCCAAAGACACCUCAGGGAAAGACGCUCCAGGCUGAUGACAAUGGGCGUGGAUGGUCCAGGAGAGGUGGUCACCGCCAGGGUAGAGGUGAAAAGCUAGAUUUGUACCAUUUCCAAGACUAUGGAGUUGCUGGAAACAGUUGCUGUGAAUUCACUGGGACAGUAAGGGAGCAGGGUCAUGUGAGGUUAAGUGGACUUGCCCAAGGCUUGACCCUCUGCUGCCACUCUGGUUUCAUAGGUACCUCAGGCAUUAGAGCUGCCUAGUGAGAAGAGACCGUCUGCACAGCCUCGGGGCAGAUGAUUUGGGAGGACUAGAGGCAGAGGUGUUGAUCUCACUGUUCCUAGAUCUGCAGAGCUGAUGAUGGAUUUGGGGAAGGCUCCCAUCAUCUUCCUUCCAGGUGAAAUAUUCAGAGUGCUUAUACCUGGAUGUCUCACUACAGAUACUGCAGAAAAGAAUGAGGCCCUGUACAGUUCACAGCAAUAAAGGCUACAUGAAUUGAGUGCCAUAAGGGAGAAAUAAGCAGGCUGAGCUGACCCAGGGAGGCUUCUCAGAGAAGGUGUUUUCAGGAAUCACCCCAAGUCACAAAUGGGAGGCCUCAGCACCCAAGAGGAUGAAAUCAGCCCAGGAUCAUGCCAGCCCGUGCCACCCACAGCCACUGAAGUGCUUGUCUGAGUCUUGCUGGAAACAUGGGCCCAUGUUAGUGAUUAUGAGCCUUGCAGCAGCAGACUCAAAGCUUUCUCUGCUGAGAAGUUUCCAGCAGUUCCAUCAGUGCGAGCCGGGAACUGAUGACCUGAACGACCUGGAGCAUGGUGAGAUCCCUGCUGCUGGGGGUUUUGGGAGAGGCCAGGCUACCUCUCUGAGCUGCUGGCAAGCGAUUCUGAGUUUGGGGCAGAGGGCAUGCCCCCAUGACCUUCCAUGUGGGCUGAUGCGCCCAGCUCUGACCCUACUGAGUCAGCUCCUGUCUGUAUGUUCCCAACUUUAAAAGCCAGGCUCUCACUUUUCCUCUGCCUUUUUGCUUUUCCUGUUUCCUUGCUGAUUCAGGCUGUGGGUAGAGAUAGUUCCUUGUGCCUGUAGGACAGAGGUCCCUGUUUUCCUUGCUGUCUGUCAGGGUAGGGCUGUUCCCAGCUUCUCGAAGGGCCCACAUUCCUUUGUUUGCAGCUUUUCUCUGUCUUCAAACCAGCAAAUGUGACCCAGUCCCUCUCACCUGUGAGUCUCUACUUCUUUGCUCCUCUCUUUCUUCCAACUGGGAAGGGAGUGCCAUUGUAAUUACAAUGGGCCCACCUGGAUGACCCAGGCUAGUCAGUUGCUGUAU
ensembl:lncRNA novel transcript